GCUGGCGGCGUGCUUAACACAUGCAAGUCGAACGGUGAAGCCCCGCUUGCGGGGUGGAUCAGUGGCGAACGGGUGAGUAACACGUGAGCAACCUGCCCCUGACUCUGGGAUAAGCGCUGGAAACGGCGUCUAAUACUGGAUACGAGACGUGAUCGCAUGGUCAACGUUUGGAAAGAUUUUUCGGUUGGGGAUGGGCUCGCGGCCUAUCAGCUUGUUGGUGAGGUAAUGGCUCACCAAGGCGUCGACGGGUAGCCGGCCUGAGAGGGUGACCGGCCACACUGGGACUGAGACACGGCCCAGACUCCUACGGGAGGCAGCAGUGGGGAAUAUUGCACAAUGGGCGCAAGCCUGAUGCAGCAACGCCGCGUGAGGGAUGACGGCCUUCGGGUUGUAAACCUCUUUUAGCAGGGAAGAAGCGAGAGUGACGGUACCUGCAGAAAAAGCACCGGCUAACUACGUGCCAGCAGCCGCGGUAAUACGUAGGGUGCAAGCGUUAUCCGGAAUUAUUGGGCGUAAAGAGCUCGUAGGCGGUUUGUCGCGUCUGCUGUGAAAUCUGGGGGCUCAACCCCCAGCCUGCAGUGGGUACGGGCAGACUAGAGUGCGGUAGGGGAGAUUGGAAUUCCUGGUGUAGCGGUGGAAUGCGCAGAUAUCAGGAGGAACACCGAUGGCGAAGGCAGAUCUCUGGGCCGUAACUGACGCUGAGGAGCGAAAGGGUGGGGAGCAAACAGGCUUAGAUACCCUGGUAGUCC
rnacentral:rRNA from 1 species